rnacentral:lncRNA from 1 species
AUGGCACAAUUAAAUCAUAACAGCUUGUUCAUGCCUCCAGGAUUAGUAGGGGAGAUUUUGUUUGUUCUUCCUCGGAGAUCUAACUAUCUGGAGGCUUGGAAAUACUCAGAAUUCUGGCAGUCAGUGCUCAUGGUGAUUGGGUUCUAUUCUCCCUCCAGGAAGUGUCAGCAUGUUCCAAAAGGUGCCUUUUCUGCCAUCACUUCUUUUCUCCUGAAGGGUAUCAUCACUAUACCCACAUUCCUGUUACUCCUCUUUAGGCCUUGCCAGUCUAUCAUAUCCUGGAAGAAUUCUGUUUUCUCCCUGUUAGAUUUUAUAUAGAAACAGUGAUCUCAAAGACAGACUAUACCACAUGGACCAAUUUACAACUGUGUGUGUAAUAGAGCCGCGCUGAAGGGAACUCUCUAAUUUCCAGCACAGUAUACAAGAAAUCACCUUUCCCUUGAGACUCCAGGUUCUAAGAGUUGGGCCCAAUGUCAGGACACCAUGACUUCCAUUUUCUGAAUUAGUGAAGUGAAAUGACUUAAGUCAGUGAUGAAAGGAUUCUGAGUCAUGGAGCCAACCAGAAAUGAAGCCAAGGAUUGAAUAGACCAGAUGAGAGGGGUGCCAGCCAAGCUAGAACAGGAUGGGCUAGCCAAGCUAAGGAAUCUGUGAGAGUUGCCAGUGGCAUAAAGAGACUGUAGAAAACCGCCAAUCAAGAGCGAGGAGCAAUGUAUACUCAAGGCUGCCAAGAUCUGCCAAGAUGUUAUGCCUUUCCCCUCAUUUUGCAGAUGGGGGCCUGGAGGAAAUAAACAAGAGUGGGGGCUUCUUACUCUAACCA